rnacentral:rRNA from 1 species
GGUACCCUAACCGUGCGAAGGUAGCAUAAUCACUUGUUCUUUAAAUAGGGACUAGUAUCAACGGCAUCACGAGGGUUUCACUGUCUCCUUUCUCCAAUCAAUGAAACUGAUCUCCCCGUGAAGAAGCGGGGAUUUAAUUAUAAGACGAGAAGACCCCAUGGAGCUUCAAGCCCAACAACAGCCCUGCAAAAUUUUUCUUAAUAGCCUUAAAGUCCUGUUUGUUAGCUUUAGGUUGGGGUGACCGCGGAGUAUAAUACAACCUCCACGACGGACGGGCUUCAACCCCUUAUCCAAGAGCCACUGCUCUAAGAAUCAUUAAACUGACGUAAAGUGAUCCAAUUAUUGAUCAACGAACCAAGUUACCCUGGGGAUAACAGCGCAAUCCAUUUCAAGAGCCCCUAUCGACAAAUGGGUUUACGACCUCGAUGUUGGAUCAGGGUAUCCUAGUGGCGCAGCCGC